CCCUACGGGGCGCAGCAGUAGGGAAUCUUCCACAAUGGGCGAAAGCCUGAUGGAGCAACGCCGCGUGGGUGAAGAAGGUCUUCGGAUCGUAAAACCCUGUUGUUAGAGAAGAAAGUGCGUGAGAGUAACUGUUCACGUUUCGACGGUAUCUAACCAGAAAGCCACGGCUAACUACGUGCCAGCAGCCGCGGUAAUACGUAGGUGGCAAGCGUUAUCCGGAUUUAUUGGGCGUAAAGGGAACGCAGGCGGUCUUUUAAGACUGAUGUGAAAGCCUUCGGCUUAACCGGAGUAGUGGAUUGGAAACU
rnacentral:rRNA from 1 species